rnacentral:rRNA from 1 species
UACGGAGGGUGCAAGCGUUAUCCGGAUUCACUGGGUUUAAAGGGUGCGUAGGCGGGCAAGUAAGUCAGUGGUGAAAUCCCGAGCUUAACUUGGGAACUGCCAUUGAUACUAUCAGUCUUGAAUAUUGUGGAGGUUAGCGGAAUAUGUCAAUGUAGCGGUGAAAUGCUUAGAUAUGACAUAGAACACCAAUUGCGAAGGCAGCUUACUACACAGUUAUUGACACUGAGGCACGAAAGCCGUGGGGAUCAAACAGG